rnacentral:rRNA from 1 species
UGGGGAAUAUUGCACAAUGGAGGGAACUCUGAUGCAGCGACGCCGCGUGAACGAAGAAGGCUUUCGAGUCGUAAAGUUCUUUUAUAUGGGAAGAUAAUGACGGUACCAUAAGAAGAAGCCCCGGCUAACUACGUGCCAGCAGACGCGGUAAUACGUAGGGGGCUAGCGUUGUCCGGAAUCACUGGGCGUAAAGGGUUCGCAGGCGGAAAUGCAAGUCAGGUGUAAAAGGCAGUAGCUUAACUACUGUAAGCAUUUGAAACUGCAUAUCUUGAGAAGAGUAGAGGUAAGUGGAAUUUUUAGUGUAGCGGUGAAAUGCGUAGAUAUUAAAAAGAAUACCGGUGGCGAAGGCGACUUACUGGGCUCAUUCUGACGCUGAGGAACGAAAGCGUGGGUAGCAAACAGG